UACGUAGGGCGCGAGCGUUGUCCGGAAUUAUUGGGCGUAAAGAGCUCGUAGGCGGCUUGUCACGUCGGGGGUGAAAGACCGGGGCUUAACUCCGGUUCUGCAUUCGAUACGGGCUAGCUAGAGUGUGGUAGGGGAGAUCGGAAUUCCUGGUGUAGCGGUGAAAUGCGCAGAUAUCAGGAGGAACACCGGUGGCGAAGGCGGAUCUCUGGGCCAUUACUGACGCUGAGGAGCGAAAGCGUGGGGAGCGAACAGG
rnacentral:rRNA from 1 species